CGUGCUCGGUAGAGGUUCAAAAAUGAACUUUAAGAUUAUUUCGGUAUUUCUUUAUCUAUCGGUGGUUCUGAGCAUAGUGGUGCAAAAUAAUGCGUUUGUUCCCCAGGACGACACUGGUUUCCGAAGACGGGCUGCUGAUAUUUCUGGCUGCAAAAAGCAACAAGCUGUCAUCAAAUCUUUCUGUGAGCAAGUGCUUCCCUGCCCAGGUGAACGUAAACUCAAGGAAGAACUCGACUUCAAGAAGACUGCGGACUAUCAUCAGUAACUGCUGACACCGAUACCAGAUUGAGAAUCAAGGAAUGGUCUUUAAAAUACUGCGUAAUAAUAUCAAAAUAGUUGUAGUAAGAAAAAAAUAAACUUGUAGUCGAUGUUAGCUUCAGAUAGAAUUAAAAAGACUCUAAAUUAAGUUA